UAGUCUGGGAAACUGCCUGAUGGAGGGGGAUAACUACUGGAGACGGUAGCUAAUACCGCAUAACGUCGCAAGACCAAAGUGGGGGACCUUCGGGCCUCAUGCCAUCAGAUGUGCCCAGAUGGGAUUAGCUAGUAGGUGGGGUAAUGGCUCACCUAGGCGACGAUCCCUAGCUGGUCUGAGAGGAUGACCAGCCACACUGGAACUGAGACACGGUCCAG
rnacentral:rRNA from 1 species